rnacentral:misc_RNA from 1 species
CUAAAAGACCAGAGCCACUACAGGUAACGAACUAUAAAUUAAUUCAUCGAAAGAACCUCAACAUGGCUACAUCAAGGUUUCUCUCCCCCAUCAAUUCAGCCACAACAAUAGACCUAAAACUCAUUAAAUUAAGGUUUAUUUUUCACUCUAUUUUUAUAGGAAAUUGACGGCACAAAACACACCUAAUCAGGUGUGAAACAUAUCAAAGGUAAUGUGUAAAUUAUCAGGAAUAUGCUAAGACAUUUAUUUGAGUGUGACUGAGGAAACCAAUGUAAAUUAUGUCGCACUUAGUCGAAUGCGCAUUAUCCCCAAGCCUGAUAAGAAUGCAAAAAACGAGUCAUCAUAUGCCGUCAUCACACUUUAAAAAUAACAUAACCAUAA